UACGUAGGGUGCAAGCGUUGUCCGGAAUUAUUGGGCGUAAAGAGCUCGUAGGCGGUCUGUCGCGUCGGCUGUGAAAACCCGGGGCUCAACCCCGGGCCUGCAGUCGAUACGGGCAGACUAGAGUGCGGUAGGGGAGACUGGAAUUCCUGGUGUAGCGGUGAAAUGCGCAGAUAUCGGGAGGAACACCGGUGGCGAAGGCGGUUCUCUGGGCCUUACCUGACGCUGAGGAGCGAAAGCGUGGGGGAGCGAACAGG
rnacentral:rRNA from 1 species